CCGACGUGUCACUGCGCAAGCGCCAUCGCAACCAUUGUGACGUCGCCGCGGCAAGGGGCGCUUCCGGGUCCUUGGCCGGUCCUGACUAGGAUUGGCCGAGCCGACGGGUUCUCUCCCAUCGCCCGAUUGGCUGGGGGGGCAGGAGGGUCUGGCGGGAGAGUUCGAAAGAACGCCGAAGCAGGUGUGAAUGCUUUCAGGUCUUGUGAUAGGUCAGCUGUUGAUGGCAUCCUCCUGCCCAUUCACAAGAUCACAUGGCAGAACCUCUUUCAAUGAGCAGCUGAGGGCUUUGAGAUGAAGAAUCAUCUUUCUCAGCUGAAGAGUCUCUUUUGUGACAGGGCAAGCUUUUGCUAGACUGAAACCACAGGCGCCCAUCAUUGGCUCUAAGGUAAAAGGAAGGAGAAAUCAUGCCAGAUGACUUUCUUUGGGAAACAAAAUAUUCCAGCAAGAGAAACAUGAGAAUGAAACACAACAAUAAAAUCAGACAUGACAGAGAAGAGAGAGAAAAUAAAACAGGAUACACCUCCCAUUGCAUGAUGAGUGGCAUGUGUUUGGCAUUAAGUGAGAGCCACUGUGAAGCUUGGGUUACGCAUCGCAUUAAGCCAUAAUAUGUUUGAUUUUAGUUUAGGUUUGUUGGAAGAACUAUCCAUCUGGUUCAGUUCCAAGCCGGGAGAAAGACGCUGGAAACAUGGAGGCUGAUUGGAAAGAUGGUUUAGUGGUGAAGCAAAACCACCAAGCACGUGUGAUUCUGGGUAGCUGACCACAUGGAGUUGGGGGGGUUAUACCUUCUCUUGGGCUUUGCACUUGAACUUCCUUUUUCCUGUGCAAGAACAUGUAUUUUAUUGGCUGUUGUGGGUGUCAUACCUCUAUAGGUUGUCUGAGCUCUCAGGUUUGGUUGAAGUUUGGACUCUAAUGGAAUAUCAUUAGGAGAUUGUGCAAUGUAGUGAGCUUUGCUGUUAGUGGGUUAAUCCUAUUAUGUCCUGGAGGGUCAUGUCAUAAUCCCAUCACCCUGGAUCUGACAGCCUUUUGUCUUUAGAUAGACUGGCCCAAUCCUGCUGGGGCUAUUAAGAAAGAUUUGGGAGCUGUUUUUUGUCUUUAAAAACAUAUUUCUCCUUUAGGGAAAUAUAAUAGUCUGCCUUUUUAAUAUUUCUCAAAAUAUUUAAUUCUUCUGGAAGAGGGUGGCUUCCCAUAGGUUAGAAGUGCCCAUCCACUGAGAUCUGUAAACUCUGCUUAGACAUAUUUAUAGCUUAAUAUGGUAAACUGUGAUUAAGAAAAUCAAGGAACUAACAUAAUUUCUGAACCCACAUAAUUAACUCAAAAUGCUUGUGCGGCUGUCACUGCUUCUCUGUACUGAAUAUUGGACUAUCAGAACAACUAUAGAUGGCAGCAGAGAGUGAGUUUUCUGUAUCCCUUUGCUGCCAUCCAUUUUUUUUCUUUGUAACUCAAUUCUCUUGCUAUCUUAGAUUGAAAUUCAUAUUGAGUAUAGGUUUUAAACUGCUGCUGGAAGAUCAACAUAAUGAACUUUUCUUUAUGCCUCCAAAUGCUGGCUUCCCUUCCGUUCCCAGACUGGAGACAUACAGCUAUGCCGAUUGGGGAAGAUGAGAUUUGUACUUUAUGUUGGCACCGUGCUAAGAAAAUGUCAUUUAAGGUGACAUAAUUUGUAGAAAUUAAUGCAUAAAAUCCUAUUAGCUGCAAAUAAAGUCCCAGAAUAACCUUUAGAUCUACUCAUUUCUAUAGGAUAUUUGUCUUCAGGAUGCAUAUUCUUAAAAACUGCAUGCAACUUUGCUUUUAAAUAUUCUUAAGUACUGCAUAGCUGAGAUAUUUUUUCUUAACCUUUGUAAUGGGACAUUCGUAGUGAAAUACACAGAUUGAUAUAGAUUGCAAAUUACUUGACAGCUGAUUCCAAUAACAGCUCAAGGUAAUAAUUUUUCUAGUCCAUGCCCUGCAUUACGUUUUUGAACUACGUGAAUUUGAAGCAAUUUACCCCCAACUGUUAGGACAGUUAGAUCCAGAGGACCUUCCCUUGCUUUGGCGUGUUUUUCUUUGAAAGAAGAUCAUCAAAAAUAUAAAGCAUUUGCAAUCUUCCAAGGUUUAUGAUUCUACAGAUUUGUCAUAGCUUGUUGUGGUCCACCAGCAGCCUGCGGAGCUGGCAAUGGAGUCAGACAGCGAUGAGGCUGAGGAAGAACAUGGGCCAGUCCUGGAGACUGGGGAAGGCCUGGAUGAGGGCUCUGUUUCAGAGGCAGAUGUGGGGCCAGGGCCAACUGGAAGUGAUGUGCGGACUCCGGAGCCUCCAGAGGCUGACAGUAGUGAGGCAGAGGAACAGGAGGAGCCUGUUCCUAAUGCACACAUUAGAAGAGCUGCCAGAAGGCAAGAGCAGCUAAAGCAAAGAGGAUGACUCAGGAGUAGGGCCAAGAGAUGAUUGGCCCCUCCCAUAAGGCUUAAAAGACCAGCAACGGCGUUUGGGCUCUUUCCUGGAAAACAACAUUGAUAGUUUUGUCUUGUUGCAUUUGUUUCGUACUGGCAUCUUCUGAACUUUUGCCAAGAAAGGCCUUUGGCAUUGUGAAAAAUAACUUGCCCUCCUCAUCUUGCUCCUUUCCACAUGCUGAACUCAGAUCUGGAGUGUGCGGUAGAAGAGAAAAGCACUUGCUGUUUCAGAUAUUCCCUACAGAAUUGAAAGAGCUCAGAUAGAUCAAAUAAUGAAAGAAAUAGUUUCAUCAAGUAUCUACAGGUAGUCCUCAACUUAUGACUGGUUGCUUAGCAACUGCUCAAAGUUGCAACGGAAAACUACUUACGACCUGGUUUCAAAGUUACAUUCACUGCAGCAUUCCUGUGGUCAUUUGCCCUUAGGACUGACUGCAGGAAUGCUACAGCACCACCAACCCAACUUAUCUUCCCCCACAACCCAUCCCACCAGCUCCCCACAAGUCUUGGGCCUGCUUCCCACCCCACCAGAUCCUGCAGGUACCCCUACCCAGCCCCCCCCAACCCCCAGUGUGCACUUACCUUUUAAAGAUCUCUGGAGAGCUUCGGACAUUGCAUUAGGGAAGAAAGACUGCCCCUCCGUCCCUUGGCAUCCCUAGGCCACGUGGUUGCAUCCCAGAAAAUGGUACCAUUUACAAAGGACCAGCUAUAACUUACAAUUUUGCCGCUACAACGGACUCUUUAUGAGUUUUUCUGGAUCCACUAAUUCUUUCAUAUCCAUAGUCUUUAACUUUAACAAAACUGCUCACUGUAAUAUGGUAUGUGGAAGCAGUAUGAGUUUCUGGCAAGGAAAUGGAUGAUUCUUGGAACAGGAAAACUAUACAUUUUAUAAAACAGUAUGUGUUUUGUGACUUAACUGUGUUUUAUUCAGGUGUUUUAUUCUGCAGAUGAAGAGAAAGAAGCAUUCAAGGAAAUGAGAAGAGUAAUUCUGGGCAGAUUGAAAAUCAUCAAUUUUCUCAAGAAGAGUCGAGUUCAGGUGCGAGGAAUUCAGUUAGCAGAGGACUCGGAGCCGUACAAUAGAAUAGGCGUGAAUCUCUUCGUGCUUUGUUUGUGACCAUCACCUCCCCAAACUUUAUUUAUAGGGAGCAUAUUUCAGUCAGUCUGACAUCUACAGAGCAAAAUGCCCCAAAUAUUGUAUGGUGAUAUCCUUGCAGCUCAGCCUUCCUAUGUGUCCAGUGCAAGGGGAGAUUGAUUCUGAAGAACUCCUGAAGGGAUGGUUCUGCUCCUGUAGAUGAAAAAGCAAAAGAGGCUCUUUUGGGACUUCAUCAGCAACUACUACACAAAUUCAAGAGUAGUUCACCUAUCUAAAAAGCCAAUGCAAAGUGUUUGGUGAGAGUAUAUGUGGA